rnacentral:rRNA from 1 species
AGCGAACGCUGGCGGCAGGCUUAACACAUGCAAGUCGAGCGGGCACUUUCGGGUGUCAGCGGCGGACGGGUGAGUAACGCGUGGGAACGUGCCCUCUGGUUCGGAAUAACUCAGGGAAACUUGAGCUAAUACCGGAUACGCCCUUUUGGGGAAAGGCUUGCUGCCGGAGGAUCGGCCCGCGUCUGAUUAGCUAGUUGGUGAGGUAACGGCUCACCAAGGCGACGAUCAGUAGCUGGUCUGAGAGGAUGAUCAGCCACACUGGGACUGAGACACGGCCCAGACUCCUACGGGAGGCAGCAGUGGGGAAUAUUGGACAAUGGGCGCAAGCCUUAUCCAGCCAUGCCGCGUGAGUGAUGAAGGCCUUAGGGUUGUAAAGCUCUUUUAUCCGGGACGAUAAUGACGGUACCGGAGGAAUAAGCCCCGGCUAACUUCGUG